rnacentral:rRNA from 1 species
ACUCAAAUGAAUUGACGGGGGCCCGCACAAGCGGCGGAGCAUGUGGCUUAAUUCGACGCAACGCGAAGAACCUUACCUGGGCUUGACAUGCGGGGUAAAGCCGUGGAAACACGGUGCCCUUCGGGGCCCGCACAGGUGGUGCAUGGCUGUCGUCAGCUCGUGCCGUGAGGUGUUGCCUUAAGUGGCGCAACGAGCGCAACCCCUGUCCCUAGUUGCCAGCGGGUAAAGCCGGGAACUCUAGGGAGACUGCCGGUGCCAAACCGGAGGAAGGUGGGGAUGACGUCAAGUCAUCAUGCCCCUUACGUCCAGGGCUGCACACAUGCUACAAUGCGUGGUACAAAGGGCUGCAAUCCUGCAAGGGGGAGCGAAUCCCAAAAAGCCACGCUCAGUUCGGAUCGGGGUCUGCAACUCGACCCCGUGAAGUCGGAGUCGCUAGUAAUCGCAGAUCAGCAACGCUGCGGUGAAUACGUUCCCGGGCCUUGUACACACCGCCCGU